GCCAGAGCAGAAACUCAUUUCACGAGUUUUGGUCACUCAUCUUCAUCUUCAACCCCAAAUUUCCGUUUUUGUUCUUCCACCUCAAUUUUUGUUCAACCUCAUCAUUCUAAGCUUCGUUGGAGGGCUCGCCUGGGCCACCGAAUCGAAGAUCAUGAACGACCGUGAGACGGGAGGUCCAGGGGCUUCGGCUUCGUCACCUUCAACAACGAGAAUGCCAUGAAGGAUUCGAUUGAAGGCAUGAACGGCCAAAACCUCGACGGCCGUAACAUCACCGUCAACGAGGUCUAGUCUCGUGGAAGCGUUAGGCGUUUUCUAAUGCGUCUCGACUUCAACUCCUUCUUUGAGUUCUAUUUAUUUUUGUAGCUAGAGAUCCUUGAUUGCUGAUUGUGAUGAUAGCUUGGAGCAGAAGAGCUCCAUAUAAAUUGAUGGCCAAUAAUUCA